rnacentral:rRNA from 1 species
UACGUAGGUGGCAAGCGUUGUCCGGAUUUACUGGGCGUAAAGAGCUCGUAGGCGGCCUGUUGCGUCCGCUGUGAAAGCCCGGGGCUUAACCCCGGGUCGGCAGUGGAUACGGGCAGGCUAGAGGUAGGUAGGGGAGAAUGGAAUUCCCGGUGUAGCGGUGAAAUGCGCAGAUAUCGGGAGGAACACCAGUGGCGAAGGCGGAACUCUGGGCCGGAACUGACGCUGAGGAGCGAAAGCGUGGGGAGCGAACAGG